rnacentral:lncRNA from 1 species
GCUUUUGGUAAAACGCCGCUAAAAAUCGGAGCAUUAGCGGCGCUUUUGGUAAAGCGCCGCUAAAAAUCGGAGUAUUUGGGGUGCUUUUGGUAAAACGCCGCUAAAAAUAAGAGCAUUAGCGGCGCUUUUGGUAAAACGCCGCUAAAAAGUUUAGGAUUUACGAUUUAGGUUAUAUGAUUAAGGGUUUAAAGUUUAUGAGUUACUAUUUUAAGGUUUAUGUAUUAUGGUUUAAGGGUCGGGG